rnacentral:rRNA from 1 species
GGUCAAGUUAUUAAGGGUGCAGGGCGGAUGCCUUGGCACUAGGAGCCGAUGAAGGACGUGAUAAGCUGCGAUAAGCUUCGGGGAGUUGCACGUAAACUUUGAUCCGAAGAUUUCCGAAUGAGGAAACUCACUUAGAGUAAUGUCUAAGUAUCAUUAAGUGAAUACAUAGCUUAAUGAGGGGAACUCAGGGAACUGAAACAUCUAAGUACCUGAAGGAAGAGAAAGAAAUUCGAUUCCGUAAGUAGCGGCGAGCGAACGCGGAUUAGCCCAAACCAAUAAAGUUUUCUUUAUUGGGGUUGCGGACAUAUCAUAACGAAGAGGUAUCGUAAUUGAAGAGGUUUGGAAAGACCCACCACAGAAGGUAAUAGUCCUGUAUGUUAAACGAGAAGACUUCAGAUAUGAUCCAGAGUACCACGGGACACGUGAAACCCUGUGGGAAGCAGGAGGGACCACCCUCCAAGGCUAAAUACUACCUAGUGACCGAUAGCGUAUAGUACCGUGAGGGAAAGGUGAAAAGAACCCCGGGAGGGGAGUGAAAUAGAACCUGAAACCCUGCACUUACAAGCUGUGGAAGCACAUUUCUUGUGUGACCGCGUACUUUUUGUAGAACGGGCCAACGAGUUACGUUAAGUAGCAAGGUUAAGCACUUAAGGUGCGGAGCCGUAGCGAAAGCGAGUUUUAACUGAGCGUUCAGUUA